rnacentral:piRNA from 1 species
UGGCCUAGAUAACUCUUAAACCCAUUGGCU